rnacentral:lncRNA from 1 species
UAAGACAAGGUUUCUCUUAAAUCUCUAGGUGACAGGCUGAACGAGAACUUGAGAUCCUUUGUCUCGGCCUCCCAGAAUGCUGGAAUUACAGCCAUGUGACACCGUACUUAGUCGGUAAAGGUUUUAGCAUGAAGAGAGCAGUCAUCUACCCGUGGAAAAUCAAUACAAAGACAUUUAAGUGUAUCAUUGGAAUUUACAAAAUUAAAUAACAGCGCGAAAUGUAGAAUGCAAACAGUCGGUGUUACUGAGAGGUGGUACAACAAUUCAAGUACUCCGAAAACUUUGUAAUUAGCAGAAACAGCCACUAAAACAACACUAAAAUAAGGGAAAAAGCAAAGAAAAACUGCCAGCGAA